CCAACGGCCCUCUUUAGGGCCACACAACAGAUUCGAAUACGUGUGC
rfam:Ancylostoma ceylanicum strain HY135 Acey_s0001_scaf, whole genome shotgun sequence.